CUGACUAUGCCAAAUUCCAAACUCCAAAUAGACUAGACAAAUAUUAAACAAAAUUUUUAAUCCCAUAAACUGGGCAAACAAACGAAAUUUCCAAAUCUCGUGAACCGAGCAUCAAACGAAAUUUUCAAUCCCACGAACUGGGCACAAAUUUCAAAUUCAAGCUCGACAAAUGCCAAAUUUAAGGUAACCACAGCUAACAUCACAUCCCCAUCUUUCUCGUCACAAUGAACUCAUCAAAAUCAGCAUAGCAACAAUAUCCCAAAAUUCAAACUUUAGCUCCUCUUCUCCAUCCAUCCAUUGAAAGCCCAAAUAAAACUAAACCCAUACCCAAACAAUAACCAAGCCCAACAGUAAACUCAAUUGACCAAAACCCAAGUUAAAACCCAACUCAUAAUCUAUAGCCCAAAUAAUAUUUCCACCCAAUCAAACAAGCCCCAUUUAACUCAAGCCCAACCUUCAGCCCAAUUGCUCACAGAUAGGUUAACCUAAAACAUAUACUACAGGCUACAACUCAUAUGCCAUAUAACAAAAUACCCAAUUAAAUUACUGGCUCAUCAGCCCAAU
rnacentral:lncRNA from 1 species